rnacentral:rRNA from 1 species
ACUGAAACAUCUAAGUAGGGCGAGGAAGAGAAAUCAACCGAGAUUCCGCUAGUAGUGGCGAGCGAACGCGGAAGAGGGCAAACCGGAGGAUUUAUCCUCCGGGGUUGUGGACAGUUUUUUAGCAACUGGAACUAGGAGAACGGUAUGGGAAGGCCGGCCAUAGCGGGUGAUAGCCCCGUAUCCGAAAGGGAAGGUUGUGCGACUGGAUCCAGAGUACCGCCGGACACGUGAAACCCGGUGGGAAGCUGGGGGGACCACCCUCCAACCCUAAAUACUACCUGAUGACCGAUAGAGGAGCAGUACCGUGAGGGAAAGGUGAAAAGGACCCCGGGAGGGGAGUGAAAGAGAACCUGAAACCUUGUGCUUACAAGCACUCAAAGCCCGUUAAAGGGUGAUGAGGUACCUUUUGUAGAAUGGUCCGGCGAGUUAUUGUUACUGGCAAGCUUAAGGCAUUCAGUGCCGGAGGCGCAGGGAGACCGAGUCUGAAUAGGGCGUAUGAAGUCAGUGGCAAUAGACCCGAAACCGGGUGACCUAUCCAUGGGCAGGUUGAAGUGGGGGUAAAACCCCAUGGAGGACCGAACGCACGCCCGUUGCAAUGGUCGGCGAUGACCUGUGGAUAGCGGUGAAAUUCCAAUCGAACUCGGAGAUAGCUGGUUCUCCCCGAAAUAGCUUUAGGGCUAGCGUUGGCUUAGAUUACCGGAGGUAAAGCACUGAAUGGGCUAGGGGCCGAUAAGGUUACUGAACCCUAUCAAACUCUGAAUGCCGGAUAAUUGAUGGCCAGCAGUCAGUCUACGUGAGAUAAGUCUCGUGGACAAAAGGGAAACAGCCCAGACCCACAGCUAAGGUCCCAAAGAUACGCUAAGUGGAAAACGAUGUGGAGUUGCGAAAACAACCAGGAUGUUGGCUUAGAAGCAGCCACUCAUUAAAAGAGUGCGUAAUAGCUCACUGGUCGAGUGACUCUGCGCGGAAAAUAUAACGGGGCUAAGCGUAACACCGAAGCUUGGGCUGCACAGCAAUGUGCGGGGUAGGGGAGCGUCGAAUAUGGGGUGAAGUCGCAGCGGAAGCAGCGGUGGACUGUAUUCGAGUGAGAAUGCCGGAAUGAGUAGCGAGAAUUAUGUGGGAAUCAUAAUGGCCGAAAAUCUAAGGUUUCCUGGGGAAGGUUCGUCCGCCCAGGGUAAGCCGGGAGCUAAGGCGAGGCCGAAAGGCGUAGUCGAUGCACAUACGGUUGAAAUUCCGUAGCCACCGAACCUUAAGUACACUGACACAUGGAGAUAGCGGGACCCGGGCGUUGGUUGACCCGGGCGUAAGGGACCGAACUUUAGUAGGGAAGUCCGCGAUGCUCUGUGGCGAGAAAAGGUGUAUGGUAUGCUAAGGUGCCCGUACCGCAAACCGACACAGGUAGAUGAGGAGAGAAUCCUAAGGCCAACGGGAGAAGGGUUGUUAAGGAACUCGGCAAAAUGACCCCGUAACUUCGGGAUAAGGGGAGCCUCCUACGGGAGGCCGCAGCGAAUAGGCCCAAGCGACUGUUUACCAAAAACACAGGUCUCUGCUAAAUCGAAAGAUGACGUAUAGGGGCUGACGCCUGCCCGGUGCUGGAAGGUUAAGAGGAGAUGUUAGCCGCAAGGCGAAGCAUUGAAUCGAAGCCCCAGUAAACGGCGGCCGUAACUAUAACGGUCCUAAGGUAGCGAAAUUCCUUGUCAGGUAAGUUCUGACCCGC